rnacentral:pre_miRNA from 1 species
UUCAAGUAAUCCAGGAUAGGCUGUGUAUCUCCUGGUUGGCCUAUUCUCGAUUACUUGCACU